CCCAGCGCCUCAUGCAUGCUAGGUGAGCACUCUACCCUUAAGCCACAACCCCAUCCCCUCAGUUAAAAUAUUUUUUAAAAAUUAUUUCUUCCUUAAUCCAUGUGCUAUAUUAAAUAUCUUGUUUUUUCACCAAAUGUUUGGUCUUUUCCAUCUGUCUUUCUGUGACUGAUUUCUAGUUCAAUUUCAUUAUGCUCUGAAGAUAUUUUAUGUGAUUUAAAUCUUUAAGAAAUAGUUAAGAUGUGUUUCAUAGACUUGACUAUGGUCUAUUUUGGUGAACUUUUAUGCGACUUUGAUAAGAAUAUGUAUCCAAAUUUUGUUGAAUAGAGUAAACUUCAAAUAUCAAUUAGAUCAAAUUAAUUGAUAGCUUUGCUUACAUCAAAGAUAUCUACUCAGUUUUGGCUUGUUUGAUCAAUUCUUGAUUUUAAGUAUUUACUUUGGGUUUAGUCUUUUGCAGUUUGAAUAUGACAUGGUAUAGAUUAUAUCAUGUUUAUCAUUAUGUGUGUUUUCUAAAUUUCAUCAAUAAAUAGUUUUGUGUCCGGUACGGUUUAAAUAUGAAAUGUUCCUCAAAGGGUUUUGUGUGAGACAAUGCAAGAAAGUUUAUAGAGUGGAAGUGAUUAGAUUAUGAUAGUCUUAACCUAAUCCAUGCCUUGGUCCACUUGAAUGAAUAAACUGGGUGGUAACUGUAGGCAGGGUGUGGCUGGAGGAGGUAGAUCACAAUGCUGUGCCUAUAGGAUGUAUAUUUUUCCUUGGUAAGUGGAGCUCCUUUCUCUCUGUUUCCUUAUUGCCGUUUCCGCUGCUGCUUUCCUCUGCC
rnacentral:lncRNA from 1 species